rnacentral:rRNA from 1 species
AGAGUUUGAUCCUGGCUCAGAUUGAACGCUGGCGGCAUGCCUUACACAUGCAAGUGAAACGCAGGGUUGGUAGCAAUACAAGUACUCGUGGCGGCGAACGGGUGAGUAAUACAUCGGAACGUGUCCCGUAGUGGGGGAUAGCCCGGCGAAAGCCGGAUUAAUACCGCAUAUGCUCUACGGAGGAAAGUGGGGGAUCGCAAGGCCUCACGCUAUAGGGAGCGGCCGAUGUCCGAUUAGCUUGUUGGCGGGGUAAUGGCCCACCAAGGCGACGAUCGGUAGCUGGUCUGAGAGGAUGAUCAGCCACACUGGGACUGAGACACGGCCCAGACUCCUACGGGAGGCAGCAGUGGGGAAUUUUGGACAAUGGGGGGAACCCUGAUCCAGCCAUGCCGCGUGCGGGAAGAAGGCCUUCGGGUUGUAAACCGCUUUUGUCGGAAAGAAAAGGCGCACCCUAAUACGGGGCGCUCUGACGGUACCGGCAGAAUAAGCACCGGCUAAC